UGCCCCUUGGCAAAAAUAGAGUCGCAACUGGACUGGUUUAGUAGCUUCUUUUUAGUCGAAAGACCGGUAGACAAAAAUAAG
rnacentral:sRNA from 12 species